GAUUAACGCUGGCGGCGUGCAUAACACAUGCAAGUCGAACGAUGAAACUUAACUGAUUUCUUCGGAAUGAUUUUAAGUGGAUUAGUGGCGGACGGGUGAGUAACGCGUGAGUAACCUGCCUUGGAGAAGGGGAUAGCCUUUGGACACGAAGAAUAAUACCCUAUGAUAUGAUAAUAUCUCAUGAUAUUAUCAUCAAAGAUUUAUCGCUCUAAGAUGGACUUGCGUCUGAUUAGUUAGUUGGGGAGGUAACAGCUCACCAAGGCAGCGAUCAGUAGCCGGCUGGAGAGAGUGUACGGCCACAUUGGGACUGAGACACGGCCCAGACUCCUACGGGAGGCAGCAGUGGGGAAUUUUGCACAAUGGGGGAAACCCUGAUGCAGCGACGCCGCGUGAUUUAGAAGGCCUUCGGGUUGUAAAAAUCUUUUGUAUGGGAAGAAAAUGACAGUACCAUACGAAUAAGGACCGGCUAAUUACGUG
rnacentral:rRNA from 1 species